CUGGAUGGAGCAACAAGAGUCUGGGCUAUUAACACAGGUUUGAGUCAGGCUGACCGGAGCUGUAAAGCCCUUCUCCUGUUCUCACUGUGUGUUCUUUUCAGUUCUGUCUUCCUGAGGCUGCUGUUUCUGGGCAUGGCCAGGGGAUCUUCAGACUUUACAAACCGGUUGUGCAGAGCCAGGCAUUUCAAUAAGAAACAAAAUGCUGAGUAACAACAUGAAGUCAGAGUGUUGCUUGCCAAGAGCUGGGAGGCCUGGGUGGUUUCCCAAUCUUAAAGAAGCAGAAGGAUAUUAAAGUGAGCCUCCCAAAGGAAAACGUGGAUCUACUUACCAACGCAGAAAAUGAUACACAGGGAUUCGAUUUAGGCACGCUACAUUCAAAUGACUUGGAAGAGCAGGUUCUCUGAGCCAGGAUACUAAAGUCCCUGUUUAGGAAAGAGCCACAUUGUAUGUUUACCCUACCACAAAAAUACAGUCAUGUGCCUGGGAAAGGUUGAUCCCAGCUCCAGAAAGUCGUCUGAAUGGUCUAAGUAAUGUCAUCCAUCUGUCAGUAAUAGAUUCAGAAAUGGGUAUGUGAUUCAAGUCUGGCCAAUGAGAUGUAUGCAGAAGAGUGCUGGGUAUUCUGGAAAGUUAUCCCUUGUCAUUCAGAGAUCCACAGGAAUCCAGCCUUUUGCUCCCUGAAUGGGAUAAGGAAGCACAUAAUCCCAGUUGCUCUUCCAGUCAUCCCAGACCCGCAGCCCUGCUUUAGCCAUCCUAUAGCCAUCAUAUAUCCACAAGGGGAAAGCAACUGAGGACAACACUGUGGAUCCUUGUGACAUAACCAAGCCAGUGAACCAAUCAAUACAUUUAUUUAUUGUUUGAG
rnacentral:lncRNA from 1 species